rnacentral:rRNA from 1 species
CGGGAGGCAGCAGUGGGGAAUAUUGGACAAUGGGCGCAAGCCUGAUCCAGCCAUACCGCGUGUGUGAAGAAGGCCCUAGGGUUGUAAAGCACUUUAAGUUGGGAAGAAAAGUUAUUGGUUAAUACCCAAUGACCGUGACAUUACCUUCAGAAUAAGGACCGGCCAAUUCCGUGCCAGCAGCCGCGGUAAUACGGAAGGUCCAAGCGUUAAUCGGAAUUACUGGGCGUAAAGCGCGCGUAGGUGGUUUAUUAAGUUGGAUGUGAAAUCCCCGGGCUCAACCUGGGAACUGCAUCCAAAACUGAUUCACUAGAGUACGAUAGAGGGAGGUAGAAUUCACAGUGUAGCGGUGGAAUGCGUAGAUAUUGUGAAGAAUACCAAUGGUGAAGGCAGCCUCCUGGAUCUGUACUGACACUGAGGUGCGAAAGCGUGGGUAGCGAACAGGAUUAGAUACCCUGGUAGUCCACGCCGUAAACGAUGUCAACUAGCUGUUGGAAAACUAUGUUUUUCAGUGGCGCAGCUAACGUAGUAAGUUGACCGCCUGGGGAGUACGGCCGCAAGGCUAAAACUCAAAGAAUGACGG